rnacentral:rRNA from 1 species
CCUACGGGAGGCAGCAGUGGGGAAUAUUGGACAAUGGGCGAAAGCCUGAUCCAGCAAUGCCGCGUGAGUGAUGAAGGCCUUAGGGUCGUAAAGCUCUUUUACCCGGGAUGAUAAUGACAGUACCGGGAGAAUAAGCCCCGGCUAACUCCGUGCCAGCAGCCGCGGUAAUACGGAGGGGGCUAGCGUUGUUCGGAAUUACUGGGCGUAAAGCGUGCGUAGGCGGUUAUUCAAGUCAGAGGUGAAAGCCCGGGGCUCAACCCCGGAACGGCCUUUGAAACUAGGUAGCUAGAAUCUUGGAGAGGUCAGUGGAAUUCCGAGUGUAGAGGUGAAAUUCGUAGAUAUUCGGAAGAACACCAGUGGCGAAGGCGACUGACUGGACAAGUAUUGACGCUGAGGCACGAAAGCGUGGGGAGCAAACAGGAUUAGAUACCCUGGUAGUCCACGCCGUAAACGAUGAUAACUAGCUGUUCGGGUACUUGGUAUCUGAGUGGCGCAGCUACGACAUAAGUUAUCCGUCCGUCGGGUAGGUACGGUCGCGAGAAUUAAACUUAACUAAGAAGUUAGUACGGCGUGAGACGUGCCGACGGACGACGACGAGGGAGUAGG